UACGUAGGGGGCUAGCGUUGUCCGGAUUUAUUGGGCGUAAAGAGCGUGUAGGCGGCCAGAUAGGUCUGCUGUGAAAACUCGAGGCUCAACCUCGAGAUGUCGGCGGAAACCAUUUGGCUAGAGUCCGGAAGAGGAAAGUGGAAUUCCUGGUGUAGCGGUGAAAUGCGCAGAUAUCAGGAAGAACACCCGUGGCGAAGGCGGCCUUCUGGGACGGUACUGACGCUGAGACGCGAAAGCGUGGGGAGCGAACAGG
rnacentral:rRNA from 1 species